rnacentral:rRNA from 1 species
CGAUGCGAUAAACACAAUAGCAAAGAUCAACGAGGAAUCCAUAGAGACAAACAUUGACUGCCGGGGUGAGAGUGGCGAACGGGUGAGUAAUGCGUGACACGACCUGCCCCAUGACACCGGAAUAGACUCCUGGAAACGGGUGGUAAUGCCGGAUGUUCCACAUGAGACGACAUGACGAGUGUGGGAAAGGACCUUUUUGCGGCAUGGGAUGGGGUCGCGUCCUAUCAGCUUGUUGGUGGGGUAACGGCCUACCAAGGCGUUGACGGGUAGCCGGCCUGAGAGGGCGACCGGCCACAUUGGGACUGAGAUACGGCCCAGACUCCUACGGGAGGCAGCAGUGGGGAAUAUUGCACAAUGGGCGCAAGCCUGAUGCAGCGACGCCGCGUGCGGGAUGGAGGCCUUCGGGUUGUAAACCGCUUUUGUUCAAGGGCAAGGCACGGUCUUUGGACGUGUUGAGUGGAUUGUUCGAAUAAGCACCGGACUAACUACGUGACCAGCAGACCGCGGGGUAAAUAACGUUAUGGGGGUGACAAAGACGUUUUAAUCAGCCGAGAAAUUAUU